AGCGUACACGGUGGAUGCCCUGGCAGUCAGAGGCGAUGAAGGACGUGCUAAUCUGCGAUAAGCGUCGGUAAGGUGAUAUGAACCGUUAUAACCGGCGAUUUCCGAAUGGGGAAACCCAGUGUGAUUCGUCACACUAUCAUUAACUGAAUCCAUAGGUUAAUGAGGCGAACCGGGGGAACUGAAACAUCUAAGUACCCCGAGGAAAAGAAAUCAACCGAGAUUCCCCCAGUAGCGGCGAGCGAACGGGGAGCAGCCCAGAGCCUGAAUCAGUGUGUGUGUUAGUGGAAGCGUCUGGAAAGGCGUGCGAUACAGGGUGACAGCCCCGUACACAAAAAUGCACAUACUGUGAGCUCGAUGAGUAGGGCGGGACACGUGGUAUCCUGUCUGAAUAUGGGGGGACCAUCCUCCAAGGCUAAAUACUCCUGACUGACCGAUAGUGAACCAGUACCGUGAGGGAAAGGCGAAAAGAACCCCGGCGAGGGGAGUGAAAAAGAACCUGAAACCGUGUACGUACAAGCAGUGGGAGCACGCUUAGGCGUGUGACUGCGUACCUUUUGUAUAAUGGGUCAGCGACUUAUAUUCUGUAGCAAGGUUAACCGAAUAGGGGAGCCGAAGGGAAACCGAGUCUUAACUGGGCGUUAAGUUGCAGGGUAUAGACCCGAAACCCGGUGAUCUAGCCAUGGGCAGGUUGAAGGUUGGGUAACACUAACUGGAGGACCGAACCGACUAAUGUUGAAAAAUUAGCGGAUGACUUGUGGCUGGGGGUGAAAGGCCAAUCAAACCGGGAGAUAGCUGGUUCUCCCCGAAAGCUAUUUAGGUAGCGCCUCGUGAAUUCAUCUCCGGGGGUAGAGCACUGUUUCGGCAAGGGGGUCAUCCCGACUUACCAACCCGAUGCAAACUGCGAAUACCGGAGAAUGUUAUCACGGGAGACACACGGCGGGUGCUAACGUCCGUCGUGAAGAGGGAAACAACCCAGACCGCCAGCUAAGGUCCCAAAGUCAUGGUUAAGUGGGAAACGAUGUGGGAAGGCCCAGACAGCCAGGAUGUUGGCUUAGAAGCAGCCAUCAUUUAAAGAAAGCGUAAUAGCUCACUGGUCGAGUCGGCCUGCGCGGAAGAUGUAACGGGGCUAAACCAUGCACCGAAGCUGCGGCAGCGACGCUGAUGCGUUGUUGGGUAGGGGAGCGUUCUGUAAGCCUGUGAAGGUGUACUGUGAGGUAUGCUGGAGGUAUCAGAAGUGCGAAUGCUGACAUAAGUAACGAUAAAGCGGGUGAAAAGCCCGCUCGCCGGAAGACCAAGGGUUCCUGUCCAACGUUAAUCGGGGCAGGGUGAGUCGACCCCUAAGGCGAGGCCGAAAGGCGUAGUCGAUGGGAAACAGGUUAAUAUUCCUGUACUUGGUGUUACUGCGAAGGGGGGACGGAGAAGGCUAUGUUGGCCGGGCGACGGUUGUCCCGGUUUAAGCGUGUAGGCUGGUUUUCCAGGCAAAUCCGGAAAAUCAAGGCUGAGGCGUGAUGACGAGGCACUACGGUGCUGAAGCAACAAAUGCCCUGCUUCCAGGAAAAGCCUCUAAGCAUCAGGUAACAUCAAAUCGUACCCCAAACCGACACAGGUGGUCAGGUAGAGAAUACCAAGGCGCUUGAGAGAACUCGGGUGAAGGAACUAGGCAAAAUGGUGCCGUAACUUCGGGAGAAGGCACGCUGAUAUGUAGGUGAAGUCCCUCGCGGAUGGAGCUGAAAUCAGUCGAAGAUACCAGCUGGCUGCAACUGUUUAUUAAAAACACAGCACUGUGCAAACACGAAAGUGGACGUAUACGGUGUGACGCCUGCCCGGUGCCGGAAGGUUAAUUGAUGGGGUCAGCGCAAGCGAAGCUCUUGAUCGAAGCCCCGGUAAACGGCGGCCGUAACUAUAACGGUCCUAAGGUAGCGAAAUUCCUUGUCGGGUAAGUUCCGACCUGCACGAAUGGCGUAAUGAUGGCCAGGCUGUCUCCACCCGAGACUCAGUGAAAUUGAACUCGCUGUGAAGAUGCAGUGUACCCGCGGCAAGACGGAAAGACCCCGUGAACCUUUACUAUAGCUUGACACUGAACAUUGAGCCUUGAUGUGUAGGAUAGGUGGGAGGCUUUGAAGUGUGGACGCCAGUCUGCAUGGAGCCGACCUUGAAAUACCACCCUUUAAUGUUUGAUGUUCUAACGUUGACCCGUAAUCCGGGUUGCGGACAGUGUCUGGUGGGUAGUUUGACUGGGGCGGUCUCCUCCUAAAGAGUAACGGAGGAGCACGAAGGUUGGCUAAUCCUGGUCGGACAUCAGGAGGUUAGUGCAAUGGCAUAAGCCAGCUUGACUGCGAGCGUGACGGCGCGAGCAGGUGCGAAAGCAGGUCAUAGUGAUCCGGUGGUUCUGAAUGGAAGGGCCAUCGCUCAACGGAUAAAAGGUACUCCGGGGAUAACAGGCUGAUACCGCCCAAGAGUUCAUAUCGACGGCGGUGUUUGGCACCUCGAUGUCGGCUCAUCACAUCCUGGGGCUGAAGUAGGUCCCAAGGGUAUGGCUGUUCGCCAUUUAAAGUGGUACGCGAGCUGGGUUUAGAACGUCGUGAGACAGUUCGGUCCCUAUCUGCCGUGGGCGCUGGAGAAUUGAGGGGGGCUGCUCCUAGUACGAGAGGACCGGAGUGGACGCAUCACUGGUGUUCGGGUUGUCAUGCCAAUGGCACUGCCCGGUAGCUAAAUGCGGAAGAGAUAAGUGCUGAAAGCAUCUAAGCACGAAACUUGCCCCGAGAUGAGUUCUCCCUGACUCCUUGA
rnacentral:rRNA from 1 species